rnacentral:rRNA from 1 species
AACGAACGCUGGCGGCAUGCCUAACACAUGCAAGUCGAACGAGACCUUCGGGUCUAGUGGCGAACGGGUGCGUAACGCGUGGGAAUCUACCCUCAGGUUCGGAAUAACUCAGAGAAAUUUGAGCUAAUACCGGAUGAUGACGUAAGUCCAAAGAUUUAUCGCCUGAGGAUGAGCCCGCGUAGGAUUAGGUAGUUGGUGAGGUAAAGGCUCACCAAGCCGACGAUCCUUAGCUGGUCUGAGAGGAUGAUCAGCCACACUGGGACUGAGACACGGCCCAGACUCCUACGGGAGGCAGCAGUGGGGAAUAUUGGACAAUGGGCGAAAGCCUGAUCCAGCAAUGCCGCGUGAGUGAUGAAGGCCUUAGGGUUGUAAAGCUCUUUUACCCGGGAUGAUAAUGACAGUACCGGGAGAAUAAGCUCCGGCUAACUCCGUG